rnacentral:pre_miRNA from 8 species
GGGUUCGGGCCGCUGCUGUGAGUGGUUCUCUGGCAGUGUCUUAGCUGGUUGUUGUGUGGAGUGAGAACGAAGCAAUCAGCAAGUAUACUGCCGCAGAAACUCGUCACCUUUAAAAGCCCAUUCAU